UCAUUGUCGAAACCUGCCCAGCAGAAAGACCCGCGAAC
rnacentral:rRNA from 1 species